AUUGAACGCUGGCGGCAGGCCUAACACAUGCAAGUCGAGCGGAUGACGGGAGCUUGCUCCUUGAUUCAGCGGCGGACGGGUGAGUAAUGCCUAGGAAUCUGCCUGGUAGUGGGGGACAACGUUUCGAAAGGAACGCUAAUACCGCAUACGUCCUACGGGAGAAAGCAGGGGACCUUCGGGCCUUGCGCUAUCAGAUGAGCCUAGGUCGGAUUAGCUAGUUGGUGGGGUAAUGGCUCACCAAGGCGACGAUCCGUAACUGGUCUGAGAGGAUGAUCAGUCACACUGGAACUGAGACACGGUCCAGACUCCUACGGGAGGCAGCAGUGGGGAAUAUUGGACAAUGGGCGAAAGCCUGAUCCAGCCAUGCCGCGUGUGUGAAGAAGGUCUUCGGAUUGUAAAGCACUUUAAGUUGGGAGGAAGGGCAGUAAGCUAAUACCUUGCUGUUUUGACGUUACCGACAGAAUAAGCACCGGCUAACUCUGUGCCAGCCGCCGCGGUAA
rnacentral:rRNA from 1 species